rnacentral:rRNA from 1 species
AAAAUGAUUGGGGGAAGGUAGCUCUUUCGGGAGUGUUAUAGCCUUAAUUAAUGUGAUAUUUGGGAUCGAGGAUUGCAACGGAUACCUUUUUUUAGGCUAGCCCCUGGCCUCUGAUUCGAUGUCGGGUUAUAGACAGCAUGCUGACUAUGAUCUGAUUAUUGUCAAAAGGUUAGAGCGAGCAUAAAUUCGUUAAGGACGCUGACGUAAUGGCUUUAAACGA